CUUGCUGGCACUAGCUGGCUUUCCUUGCAUUUCCAAGUCUAUGUUUUUUCAUAUACCCCAUUGAAUGUAACAGAAUGUAACAUAUUGGGCCUUUGUGCCUAUAAAAACUUAUACAACUUUCAGCAACGGAUCUCUUGGCUCUCGCAUCGAUGAAGAACGCAGCGAAAUGCGAUAAGUAAUGUGAAUUGCAGAAUUCAGUGAAUCAUCGAAUCUUUGAACGCACCUUGCGCUCCUUGGUAUUCCGAGGAGCAUGCCUGUUUGAGUGUCAUUAAAUUCUCAACUAUUAUCAGCUUUUGCUGAUGAUGGCUUGGAUAUGGGGGUUUAUUUUGCUGGCUUCACAGAAUGUCAGCUCCCCUUAAAUGCAUUAGCCGGUGCCCCGCGUGGACUGUCUAUUGGUGUGAUAAUUAUCUACGCCGUGGACAUCUACAAUCAUAUGGGUUUGCGCUGCUCCCAACCGUCUGUUUACUCAGACAAUACAUGACAAUUUGACCUCAAAUCAGGUANGACUACCCGCUGAACUUAAGCAUAUCNAUAAGCGNAGGAAAAGAAACUAACAAGGAUUCCCCUAGUAACUGCGAGUGAA
rnacentral:rRNA from 1 species